rnacentral:rRNA from 1 species
CACGUAGGGCGCGAGCGUUGUCCGGAAUCAUUGGGCGUAAAGCGCGCGUAGGUGGCUUCGUAAGUCCGUUGUGAAAGUCAAAGGCUCAACCUUUGAAAGCCGAUGGAUACUGCGGAGCUAGAGUACGGAAGAGGCGAGUGGAAUUCCUGGUGUAGCGGUGGAAUGCGCAGAUAUCAGGAGGAACACCAAUAGCGAAGGCAGCUCGCUGGGACGGUACUGACGCUGAGACGCGAAAGCGUGGGGAGCAAACAGG